GAUGAACGCUGGCGGCGUGCCUAAUACAUGCAAGUCGAGCGAACAGACGAGGAGCUUGCUCCUCUGACGUUAGCGGCGGACGGGUGAGUAACACGUGGAUAACCUACCUAUAAGACUGGGAUAACUUCGGGAAACCGGAGCUAAUACCGGAUAAUAUAUUGAACCGCAUGGUUCAAUAGUGAAAGACGGUUUUGCUGUCACUUAUAGAUGGAUCGGCGCCGCAUUAGCUAGUUGGUAAGGUAACGGCUUACCAAGGCAACGAUGCGUAGCCGACCUGAGAGGGUGAUCGGCCACACUGGAACUGAGACACGGUCCAGACUCCUACGGGAGGCAGCAGUAGGGAAUCUUCCGCAAUGGGCGAAAGCCUGACGGAGCAACGCCGCGUGAGUGAUGAAGAUCUUCGGAUCGUAAAACUCUGUUAUUAGGGAAGAACAAAUGUGUAAGUAACUAUGCACGUCUUGACGGUACCUAAUCAGAAAGCCACGGCUAACUACGUG
rnacentral:rRNA from 1 species